CUUGGAUUAUCUGAAUUAAAAAUUGGACAUUUUAAUCAACUGGUAGGCGGUCUACUUCCUGGGUUUUGUAAAGGCAAAUCUCAUGUCUUUACACAUCUCAUAUCUCUGCAGUCCUUCUUUGAAAAUAAAUAUGACAGCCUUCAAGAACUCUGAAAAGUGUUUGUUCAGAUCUUCAGUACUGGUCAGUUUUCAUACAGUCUCGGGGUUUUAAAACAUUGAAAUCAAGGACAAGAUGUCUGCAGUACACCUCUGA